CUUCAACAACAUGUCUGCCUAAACAAGCUCUGAAGAAGGACAACACCAAUAGAAAUGUUAAUGCGGAUAGGAGACUCUCAAGGGGACCCACUAAAGGACAAAAACUACAGGCAACUAAGAUUCUUCAUCCAUUGGCGCCUUCAGUCAGUUUCCCUCAGAGAAGAAAGAAUCCCAUUUGGUACCACCUCACCCUGGGACAUUUAGUUCUAGCUCACUGAGGUCCAACAGACAGUCCUGGUAGGGAAGGAGAUCCAAUGACAGACAAAAGAGUGCCAGGAACAAGAGCUUUAGAUGUGUCCAUGAUAACUAGGACUCCAGAGUCAAUUGUUCUCUGCAUUUGAAACAGCUGUGAUUCUCUGGAAUAGUUUCCAUUUAUUGAAAAGGUGCACUCUGGUUAGAGAAAGCUUCAAGGACAUCUUCACACCUUUCAGUGUUCAGAAAUGAAAUCAGACAGAGUAAUCUGCAAAUUGACAACUGAGAUCCUUUCGACAGACUUACACUGGGACCUGGACACCUUAAAGAACAUGAGCUGGAGCAGAGAACAUGGAGUUGGAGCAAGAGCUGAAGAUGCAGUGUCAAUCCCUUUAGUAUUUGGUUGUCAGAGACUGCAUUGACAAUGUAGGCCCAAAUCUACUUCCCA
rnacentral:lncRNA from 1 species